AUGGUAUUGAGUGUUAUAAUAUCGAACUUGACAUUCAUUGCUCCUAAUUUCUGGAAUAGUGCGAUCGCUUCGUCUGCACAAUUAUUUUUACAAAGACCACCAAGUAUUAUAUUGUAUAUGGAAAUGCUCACUGGUAUACCCCUUUCGGUCAUCUCAUGGAACAUUUCCCUUGCAGCAACAGUUCUCCCAAAUUGA
rnacentral:rRNA from 1 species